GGGGCUGACCGGUAUUGACAGGUUGUGUGAGGGUGUAUGCAGCAUGCAAGCGCAUGAGGGUAGCGCUUUAACCACUGCUCUCAAAUUCUACGUGGCGAGAAUACUUACGCCAUGGCUGCUUAAUCUGACUUAGAGUUAGAUAAGCUUAUCCUUCGAUAAGAUCGGGGGAGGCCAUCAUCGCUCAUCUUUUCUGUUUUGCGGAGGGUGAAUAUGCGGUGUCGUUCAGCAAAACUGGGCCCCGGUGUGUUGCUCACCGGUGUUGAGACAAGACGCAACUACGGAGUUACUUCGGCUGUUGGCUGCCUGGUUAUUCCCGACAAUCAAAGUCAACUAAGCAUGUAGAACGUACGCGUUCAUCUUCUCUGGACGAGGGUUCGAAUCCCUCCAGCUCCAC
rnacentral:tmRNA from 1 species